AUCUAACCCUUAUCAAAACGAACUUUCUUGUAAGCAUGCUAAGACGUGUUUUCGUUACUACGAUUGAUUUUGGAUGUCCCGUUCAGAAAGUUCAAACACAUUUUCCUAAAAGAAAGAAAAGGACGAGAACUUCAUCUACACCGAAUGCCCCCAGUUUUCCCACGAAAAACAAAGUUUGCAAUCCACCCAUUUCACUUCGGAACCCCUGCCAUAGGCCCCUCGCCAUAAAAAAAAGCCCGGAACGGAGAAUGUAAAUUUUUCGGAUAUGAAUUAUGUUUCCAUCCGUGCAGGAGACGUGAGUUGGUACUUUUAUGUACCGAGCCGAGCCGAACGGGAUGCAUUAGAAAAAUGAGUUUUGUUCGACGUGGAAGGGGGUACGGUACAUGAUGUAGCUCUCAUAAAUGUUUAAAAUGUAGCUGCUCGAUUUACUGGAAACUGCUGGCACAUCUCGAAUCAAUCCUAUUGCGCCUCCUCGUCGUUUUCGUCAUCAUCGUCGCCGGAACGGAUGCUUUAAAUGUUCGUUUGAAGUGAAGCAACCACAAAGAACCGGAGGAAAAAUUAUCUAAAUUCGGUGCACAAUGUUUGUUUAGGACCAACGUCGUACUUUUGGACCUGAGGCAGGAAAGAACGAAACAACAGAUGGUCCGUUCGGUACGUCUAUAGAAUUCACAGUUUAAGAAACCUCAGACAACACCAUUAUUGAGGAUCAAUUCAAGGCGCACAACUCCCAGACUUCUCAUUGGUUCUUUGAAUACAAGGCAGCGAACUAUAAUGAGUAGUAACAUGUGAAAUCUGAGCAGCAUGGUUCUCCGGCGAAACUAAUAAGGCUAAUAUAUCCUGAUGUAAGUUUAGAAUACAUCCAGGAUGACUAAGACGCUGGAAUGUCAUCUGUCGGUGUGCUUGCGGGUUUUCGACGAAAUUCUGUGGAGUACGCCCCAGCUCCAACCAACGCAACGAGAGCGAGUGUAAAUGUUUGCUUAGGAAAUUAAUGAUGGACGAACGACGACGACGAGGCGAGCAAGAUAACAACCAGCACAGCACACCCAAAUGCAUCAUGGCAUCAUGAUUCGGAGAGGAAAUCGAUCUCCGUCUCUUAUUCAGAGAACCAGGCGACAACUACUGGAAACUGUUGAAAGUGUGAACAGGGAAGCGAAACGAUACCAUUACGACUAGUCAAAUAUGGAGCAACUGAGCAAAGUGAAAACUUUAAGUACACAUGCAAAAACACUUUUCUAACGGCAAAGCUGACACUCAUGGUAGAAUUGCUUUCACAGGCUCCUCUCAGCCAGGCAGGCAGUCAACCGACCGACCCAAAGGAAAGAUAAACUGUUUCUCGGGAAAUGGCAAAGUUGGUUAAAGCUCUGAUGAGUUUUGGAGCGGAUACAUUGGGAGUUGGAUGAUGAUCCAUUAUGUUUUUGAAGGAGAUGAGUCUAUUUAAGUUUGAGAAUGAUUUUUUGGUAACUCAGAAUGUGCUUUAAAAGUAAAAGUAGUUUUUAACAUACUAUAUAGCAGACUCCACA